rnacentral:rRNA from 1 species
CGGAGGGUGCAAGCGUUAUCCGGAUUUACUGGGUUUAAAGGGAGCGUAGGUGGGUCGGUAAGUCAGUGGUGAAAUCUUCGAGCUUAACUCGGAAACUGCCAUUGAUACUAUCGAUCUUGAAUUAUCUGGAGGUAAGCGGAAUAUGUCAUGUAGCGGUGAAAUGCUUAGAUAUGACAUAGAACACCCAUUGCGAAGGCAGCUUACUACGGAUAUAUUGACACUGAGGCUCGAAAGCGUGGGGAUCAAACAGGAUUAGAUACCCUGGUAGUCCACGCCCUAAACGAUGGAUACUCGACAUCAGCGAUACACUGUUGGUGUCUGAGCGAAAGCAUUAGUAUCCCACCUGGGAAGUACGACCGCAAGGUUG